UGCAGAGAUUUUAUAUGACAUAUGUAUUGUAUAUUCAUACUUGUGGAAUCUUCAAUUUUUGUUUUGUACCUCAUUGAUUGACGACAUCACUUGUCUUUUUAGUAAUGCGCCAGUAACAAUUUGUAUGCAGUGAUUUGCACGUGUCGCACACUUUAAGUACGUACUGUAAUGCGAAAAAACAACAACUUAUACUUGAACUUUCAAGUGUUCCCAGAGAUGGGAAAAAUCAACUUCAAGGUUUUGUAAAGCAAAUAUUAUGUACAGAUAUGUAUCGCAUUCUGUGGAUAUUUAUGUAAUGGUCAACAUAAGCAAACCAGUAGUGAGAGGUCGUAAACAAUUUAACAGGUCAGGAAGGUUUUUUAUACGUUUGGUGGGAUUGGCAGGUAAUCAUCUACUGUGAGCUGUUUCCCUCCCAAACUCAUAAUUCGGAUAUGUGCUGUAAACGAUUGGACUGUCUGAAGGAAGCAAUCACCCAAAAGCGGCCAGCUGUAACUGUGUUCCAUCACGACAGAAUCAGGCCACAUCCAACGACAGUGAUAAGGCCACAUUUGUAUGAGUUCCUAAAAGAAGCAUCGUUGUCAAUUGGAAACAGGGAAGAUUUUGGAAGGCUGGCAGUCAACAAAAUUUGUGGAAACUUCUGUCAAUAUUUACGUCAACUUUUAAAAAAUUGCAAGAAUGUAAAAAAGUUAAUACCGGAAUAAAUGAGAAGAGGUACAUACUGAUAUACAGGAUUCACCCAAGUCAUGGAGGGAACAUUUUCCAAUCUAAUGAACCAAAAACUGGAAGGAAUAUGGAGUAGCAAUACUGCUGUUGCGGUGAUAUAAAACGUUUAUCGAUUCUUACAUACAUAUAUUCUUCUUAACUUAUAAUUAAAAUUUAAGUUCACCAUAAAUAAACUGAUUGUUCCUUAUUGGUGUGGUUUUAUACCUUCGAAAUAUAUAAUUGAUCGGAGAUUUUUUAUGCGCCAAGUCUUAAAAAAGAUCUAGGAAAAAUUUAUCGAUAUUACCCGCUUAUCCGAGCAUACAUGCCAAUAUUUCUAAAUUCGGAUCUAAGCGAAGUUAACUUUCGUGCUAUCGAUCAAAGUAUCAAAUUAAAAAGAACGAUGCUUGUCAUUGUUAUUGCUUUUCCAGCAGCAUUCAAAAUUGCCAAAACAUUUGCGGGAAUUAUUGUCGUGUUGUUAGUCCUUAGCCAGAUAAAAAUCCGGAACAAUUGUCAUUACGAAUUCACGCCAAAUGAGAAAGUUUUACAACAAUGGUUAAUCCUUGGCUUUUUAUAAUUUAAUUUCGAAGAAAAUGUAUUUAUUUAAAAUUAACAUGUACAUAA